GAUUAAAGAUGGUGGAGGAGCUGGAAGGACGUGGGGCACUAGGGUCUCAAGCCCCUAGUGUCACCGGAAAAAAAAACGUGACUGAAAAGGGAGAUCCACCUCCAACCUCUUGGAAACUGAUGCAGCUCAGCUGGAGACCACCAGACCUUCACGGGAGCUGGGCAUUGAGGGUGAAAAAGGGAUCCAGAUUUAACACUUCCCCAGCCCUCCUCGCACCCAGAGCCUCAGUCCCUCUUCUGUAAAGUGGAGGUUUCAACUUGCCCCCUCUAGGGCUGGUUAGAGGAUUUUGAGGUCCCUGAAUGACAUCCCCCUCUGCUGGCAAUCUGUGACUUGUCCUUCAAGACUUCCCUAGUUGGCACC
ensembl:lincRNA Gm11211 predicted gene 11211